UACGGAGGGUGCGAGCGUUAUCCGGAAUCACUGGGUUUAAAGGGUGCGUAGGCGGCUCGGUAAGUCAGUUGUGAAAGCCCCUUGCUUAACGAGGGAGGUGCGAUUGAUACUGUCGAGCUUGAAUCGGGAUGAGGCAGGCGGAAUGUGGCAUGUAGCGGUGAAAUGCAUAGAUAUGCCAGAGAACACCGAUUGCGAAGGCAGCCUGCUGGGCCUGUAUUGACGAUGAGGCACGAAAGAGUGGGGAGCAAACAGG
rnacentral:rRNA from 1 species